UACAGACUAUUUUGUGACUUUGGGGACUA
rnacentral:piRNA from 1 species